CCUACGGGUGGCAGCAGUCGAGAAUCAUUCACAAUGGGGGAAACCCUGAUGCUGCGACGCCGCGUGGGGGAAUGAAGGUCUUCGGAUUGUAAACCCCUGUCAUGUGGGAGCAAAUUAAAAUGAUAGUACCACAAGAGGAAGUGACGGCUAACUCUGUGCCAGCAGCCGCGGUAAUACGGAGGUCUCAAGCGUUGUUCGGAAGCACUGGGCGUAAAGCGUGCGUAGGUUGUUUCGUAAGUCGGGUGUGAAAGGCGCGGGCUCAACCAGCGGACGGCGCAUGAUACUGCGAGACUAGAGUAAUGGGGGGGGAAGCGGAAUUCGCGGUGUAGCAGUGAAAUGCGUAGAUAUCGAGAGGAACACUCGUGGCGAAGGCGGGUUCCGGGACAUUAACUGACGCUGAGGCACGAAGGCCAGGGGAGCGAAAGGGAUUAGAUACCCGAGUAGUC
rnacentral:rRNA from 1 species